rnacentral:lncRNA from 1 species
CUUAUGUGGCCAGGCCUAUACGCUUCCGAGAUCCGAGUUCCGAUGAGUUUAGACAGCGCGCACAUACAGUUCGCUGUGAAGUUAGCUGUAUACACUGCAUCGGAGGAUCCAGAUUUUUGAGUCGAGUCUAGAGUUCUAAAAAAUUUUACUAUGGGAUAAAGAGGAAAUAUCUCUGCUGAUUCUUCAAGAAGAAAAGUAAACAAUUACUACAAUAUUGCACAGGAUGUAUUAGUGACCUCGAAUAACCCAAAACAAGAUACAAAUUUCAUAAAAUACGUUAUAGUGAUGCUCUUUAUGAACUGGAAGCAAAUAGAAAAAAAAUGAAGAGACGCAGAAUAUUCUGCAGGGUACAGAUAGUAGUUCAAAAUCAUGUAGUCAAACAGUAAAUCAUGAUAAUAAAAAAAAAUAUGAAAAACCAACUGGUGUUGAUGAAGAAAUUCUGAAAGAAGUCGACAUAGAAAAUAAGUUGAAAAAUCUGCAGGAUGAUGAUUUGGAUUUUAACCAAAAUGAUGAGGAUGAAGAAAGUUUAAAAAAUAGAAUAUUGAUUUUAGAACUCGAGAAGAAAGAAUAUCUACAACUACACGUCAGAGAAACUCAAGAAUACAAGAAAAAAAUCUGCGAACAAUCAGAAAUGAUACGUGAUUUAAACAAAGAAUUAGCCAGGAUGGACAAACAAUUAUUGUAUGCUCAACCAAUUUACAACAGAACUCUAGAAAAUUCCACCGCAUACUCAGCAAGAAGGUCACUAUUUCCAAAAGUUUCAGAAAGUAGGGAAUCGCAUACCUGCAUGAAAGAGACUGUUGAUGCACGGUAUACAGAAUCUAGUGUAAAUGUGGAACAGUCACAUAUAGAUGCUGCAGUAUCAACAAACUUUCAAAAAAUUAAUGUUUCUCGCAGUAUGCAACUAAAUAAAAGAAAAUCAAUAGAAGUGAAUAGUUCACCUCCUACGAAACAAUAGAAACCUGUCUCAACGAAUGAAUUUUCUAGUGAAACUCUAAGUCCUGCAUCGCAUCCAAACAGUUAUGAAAAUAGUUCUUUUAAACAUUUAGCAGAUGAAAUGGUUCAAGAAAGGCUUAUAACAUCACCUACUCCUAUAGCUUCCGGGACCUCAGAGCUCAGCAUAAUUUCAGAAAAAAGUAAAGAUUAUCGUACACUAGUAAAUCAGCACAAAAAAGCAAAAAUAAGAGAACUUGAAGCCAAUGUAAAUAAAAACUAUACAGUACAGAUUGCUGAUGAAGACAAAAAUAGUAAGAAUAAAAGUAAGAAGAAAAAGAUCAAGAAAAAUAAGAAAAGGAAAUCAUCUGGAGACAGGCACACAGGUAAAAAUAAAAAUAAAAAAGUCCACAGAAGCAAAAACAGCUACUCCAGCAAAACUGACUCCGAAUACGACUCUGAUAAGUACAAUAAUGAAGAUCAGAUGCAGGAUAUGAUAUUGUGGAAGAAAGAAGUGAAUGGGAGAACAAGUUAGCAUGAUUCAUUUGAAACAUGGUGUAUCCAUUGAAGUUUCUCAAUGGAAGGAAAUAAAAAAAGAAAAAAGACCAACUUAUUUCUUAAGGAAAUUGGCAAGAGCGAUUUGGGGCUCCUAUCACCUAGCAAAUAGAGCUCUUAAUGUAAAGAAAUGCACGUCUUCUCUCCCCAAUGGUUCUCCCAAAAAAGCAUUAACGCCUGUUAAAAAGGCUGUAUUGAGAAAGCUCUAUUUUUCUUUUAUACAAGAUAAAAUAAAGGACAGAGAAGAUUGAAUCGGUCUAAGAAAAUCCUGGAAAACAGAAUUAGGUAGCAUUAUAAACUAUUUAAUGCGAAAAUAUCGUACACAAAAAGCAGAUUCAUCGUCGAGUUCGAACUCAGGUAGCUCCAACUCAACUAGCCACUCUUCUAGUAUAUAUGGCAGCGACUGAAAGAUUAUAGUUCCUAUACUUUGAAGUUUAAACUGACUGUUAAGUUUAAACUGACUUUUAAAACUUUAAAAAUAUGUUUUAGUUAAAAAAUGUAUUUGCGUGUUAAGUACUUACGUGUUAGUACUUUAAUAAAUAUAAAUUAAAUUUGUUUAUGGUACUGCUUCAGUACUAAGGUUAUUUUUUAUAUGUUUUAUAUCAAAGUGUAGAAAAAUGUAACUACGGAUAAUGUUUUUGAAACAUUCAAUGUAUCAAUGAUAUCACACUCUAUUAUA